rnacentral:rRNA from 1 species
AGAAUCAACGCUGGCGGCGUGCCUAACACAUGCAAGUCGACCGAGAAAGGGGAGCAAUCCCUGAGUAAAGUGGCGACCGGGUGAGUAACACGUGACUAACCUACCCUCGAGUGUGGAAUAACAUCGGGAAACCGAUGCUAAUACCGCAUAACAUCGGCGCUUUUAAGAGAUGCCGAUCAAAGGAGCAAUCCGCUUGAGGAGGGGGUCGCGGCUGAUUAGCUAGUUGGCGGGUAACGGCCCACCAAGGCGAAGAUCGGUAGCCGGCCUGAGAGGGCGCACGGCCACACUGGAACUGAAACACGGUCCAGACUCCUACGGGAGGCAGCAGUGGGGAAUUUUGCGCAAUGGGGGAAACCCUGACGCAGCAACGCCGCGUGGAGGAUGAAGCCCCUUGGGGCGUAAACUCCUUUCGACCAAGACGAUAAUGACGGUACUGGUGGAAGAAGCACCGGCUAACUCUGUGCCAGCAGCCGC